GCCCGAUGUUCGGCAGUAAAUCACUCCACUGUGCUGCUGUUGCUGCUGCCUGUAAGAGCCUCAUACAUGGAGGAGAGGACAGAUGCAGGCACUCACGCCAACGCUGAGAGAGAGGAGAAGGCAGCGUGGAGAACGUUGAGUUAAGCUCUCGCGAGAACUGAUGAUUAUGUAACUGGUGAUGGGUGCACGGUGGGGAUGCUUGAGAAAGGAGGUGUGGCCUUCGAAACGUCGGAAGUGUCCGACGCUCAUUUGCGGCUUCUCCUUCGUGAGAGGAAGGUGAACCUCAUGGACUCUGGAAGGCCCGGUAAAGGGUGAAAUACAAACCGGAGACCAAACGGACUGUCGCGCAAUUCAGUGAGCACUUUGGGUGAAUAUUUUUGUAAUAUUACUAAGAAAUAACCGGAUGGUUUAUAUUACUAAAACGAAGAUG